rnacentral:lncRNA from 1 species
GUCUUCAGGCACCAUUAUGCAGGAAACGGCCCCCUACAUAUCCCCCUUUUUUUAUUAAUUAAUGAUAAGGCUUUAUAUUUUUACAAGCAAAUAGGUCACCCAUAUGUUGAGGGAUAGAGGUAGAGGUUGUACCUUCCCAAAAUCAAACAUUAAGACUGUGUACGUUAGUGCUUCGGGUCAAGCUAACAGCCUAGUUGCGACUCCCGUACACAGUCUUAAUGUUUGAUUUUGGGAAGGUUCAACCUCUGCCUCUAUCCCUCAACAUAUGGGUGACCUAUUUGCUUGUAAAAAUAUAAAGCCUUAUCAUUAAUUAAUAAAAAAAGGGGG